AUCACUUCUGGAUGGACCCGCGGCGUAUUAGCUAGUUGGCGAGGUAAAGGCUCACCAAGGCAGUGAUACGUAGCCGACCUGAGAGGGUAAUCGGCCACAUUGGGACUGAGACACGGCCCAGACUCCUACGGGAGGCAGCAGUAGGGAAUCUUCCACAAUGGACGCAAGUCUGAUGGAGCAACGCCGCGUGAGUGAAGAAGGGUUUCGGCUCGUAAAGCUCUGUUGUUAAAGAAGAACGUGGGUAAGAGUAACUGUUUACCCAGUGACGGUAUUUAACCAGAAAGCCACGGCUAACUACGUG
rnacentral:rRNA from 1 species